UUAUGAAUAUAAUCAAAGUGGUAAAGCCUUUUCAGGACACAAUAGUCUCCAAAUGCAUGAAAGAAAAAAUACUGGAAAGAAACCCUAUAAAUACCCUAUAAAUAAAUGUGGUAAAACCUUUGUAGUUCACAAAUAUCAUCGAAACCAUGGAGAACACAUACUGGAGAAAACCCCUAUGAAUCCAACAAUGAAGUAAAGCUUUCACAACAGGUCAUCUCUGAAGUCAUAAAAGAAUACAUACUGGAGAGACAGUGACAUGUUUCCUCCAGUAGGGGCGGCAUUUACUAAGUCUUUCCAAAUGAUACCACAAAUUGGGAAUUGUAAGUAAGCCUUUAGGUGCCUCAUCAUCUAGGUUAUACAAAUGAAGGUUUGCAUGAGAAAAACAGUGAUGAAUGUAAAUUGUUUGUUUAGUGGUUUGUUUUAAUUUUAUUGCCCUUCAUUUGCUUAUAUAAAUUUUUCUGCUAAAAUGUAUAGAAUGGGAUUCCCAUCAUCUAAGUGGUCAAUUGUUCAUUUCAUUUCUGUGAUCACACUUUUCAAGUCAGUGUGUCUACAAAAGAGUGGAGGAUGUCGUUACUAGGUUCUUUUUUCAUGUUUUCAUGAAUUCCAUUGAGAUGUUGUUUUUAAUCCAGCCUGGCUUGGAUAUCAAUAAUUAGUCAAGGCUACAUUUCAAGUCAUGAUUCUCAUGUGUCAGCCUCCUGAAUACCAGUCAUCGCCAGUGUAUGCUGUUUUGUCAACACAUUUUAGUAAUGCUUAUGUUAAAAUUCUUAAUAGAAGAUAAUAUAAGAAACAUGAAAUACCUUAUGUAUGUAUUUAAAGCAGCAUUUUCAUGUAUUUGUUAGAGAUAUUUUAAGGUAGGAUAGUUAACAUUCAUGUUUAUAUCUUGUAACAUUGGUUGAUAUUCUAUGGAUGUCUUUCUUAGGGCUUCCAUUUUUGUGAAGAGACAGACAGCAUGACCAAGAGAACCCUUAUAAUAAAAAACAUUUAAUUG
rnacentral:lncRNA from 1 species